AGAGUUUGAUCAUGGCUCAGAUUGAACGCUGGCGGCAGGCCUAACACAUGCAAGUCGAGCGGUAGCACAGAGAGCUUGCUCUCGGGUGACGAGCGGCGGACGGGUGAGUAAUGUCUGGGAAACUGCCUGAUGGAGGGGGAUAACUACUGGAAACGGUAGCUAAUACCGCAUAACGUCGCAAGACCAAAGUGGGGGACCUUCGGGCCUCAUGCCAUCAGAUGUGCCCAGAUGGGAUUAGCUAGUAGGUGGGGUAACGGCUCACCUAGGCGACGAUCCCUAGCUGGUCUGAGAGGAUGACCAGCCACACUGGAACUGAGACACGGUCCAGACUCCUACGGGAGGCAGCAGUGGGGAAUAUUGCACAAUGGGCGCAAGCCUGAUGCAGCCAUGCCGCGUGUGUGAAGAAGGCCUUCGGGUUGUAAAGCACUUUCAGCGGGGAGGAAGGCGUUAAGGUUAAUAACCUUGGCGAUUGACGUUACCCGCAGAAGAAGCACCGGCUAACUCCGUGCCAGCAGCCGCGGUAAUACGGAGGGUGCAAGCGUUAAUCGGAAUUACUGGGCGUAAAGCGCACGCAGGCGGUCUGUCAAGUCGGAUGUGAAAUCCCCGGGCUCAACCUGGGAACUGCAUUCGAAACUGGCAGGCUAGAGUCUUGUAGAGGGGGGUAGAAUUCCAGGUGUAGCGGUGAAAUGCGUAGAGAUCUGGAGGAAUACCGGUGGCGAAGGCGGCCCCCUGGACAAAGACUGACGCUCAGGUGCGAAAGCGUGGGGAGCAAACAGGAUUAGAUACCCUGGUAGUCCACGCCGUAAACGAUGUCGAUUUGGAGGUUGUGCCCUUGAGGCGUGGCUUCCGGAGCUAACGCGUUAAAUCGACCGCCUGGGGAGUACGGCCGCAAGGUUAAAACUCAAAUGAAUUGACGGGGGCCCGCACAAGCGGUGGAGCAUGUGGUUUAAUUCGAUGCAACGCGAAGAACCUUACCUGGUCUUGACAUCCACAGAACUUNUUGGUGCCUUCGGGAACUGUGAGACAGGUGCUGCAUGGCUGUCGUCAGCUCGUGUUGUGAAAUGUUGGGUUAAGUCCCGCAACGAGCGCAACCCUUAUCCUUUGUUGCCAGCGGUUCGGCCGGGAACUCAAAGGAGACUGCCAGUGAUAAACUGGAGGAAGGUGGGGAUGACGUCAAGUCAUCAUGGCCCUUACGACCAGGGCUACACACGUGCUACAAUGGCAUAUACAAAGAGAAGCGACCUCGCGAGAGCAAGCGGACCUCAUAAAGUAUGUCGUAGUCCGGAUUGGAGUCUGCAACUCGACUCCAUGAAGUCGGAAUCGCUAGUAAUCGUAGAUCAGAAUGCUACGGUGAAUACGUUCCCGGGCCUUGUACACACCGCCCGUCACACCAUGGGAGUGGGUUGCAAAAGAAGUAGGUAGCUUAACCUUCGGGAGGGCGCUUACCACUUUGUGAUUCAUGACUGGGGUGAAGUCGUAACAAGGUAACCGUAGGGGAACCUGCGGUUGGAUCACCU
rnacentral:rRNA from 1 species